rnacentral:rRNA from 1 species
AUGGCUUGUCCUUUUUGCCGUAUGCCUGGUGGCCCGUGUUCUUCUGUUGAUUCUUCUGUAGAUGGGUUCAGUGUGGUCCUGGAUCGGCGUUGUUGGAGGCGUGUUUAUGUUCCGUGCAGUGUUAGAGUUCAUCUUGCUCGUUACAUCGAGGAGUGUAGGGCUUUAGCCAUAAGGAGGGGUGACGAAGAUACUGAUCUUGCUUUUCAGUGCAAUGAGGGUUAUUUGUAUGGUGUCCUAUUUAGUCAUGGUCGGUUGAGGAGCAAAUUCCAUGGUCCUUCCUGGGAACGAUUGGUCAGUGAUUAUGGUGUUCGUCCUCGUGAUAUAAUGACCAUUAGGCUUGAACAUUAUGGAACAUGGAUUGGUAUUGAUUUUUAUCGUGUUGGUCGUGGAGAUGCGUUGUCUCCUUUACCGUCUGUUGGUAAGGUUUAUUUUUAA